CCUACGGGAGGCAGCAGUGGGGAAUAUUGGACAAUGGGGGCAACCCUGAUCCAGCCAUGCCGCGUGUGUGAAGAAGGCCCUCGGGUUGUAAAGCACUUUCAGUGAGGAAGAACGCCUGGUGGUUAAUACCCAUCAGGAAAGACAUCACUCACAGAAGAAGCACCGGCUAACUCCGUGCCAGCAGCCGCGGUAAUACGGAGGGUGCGAGCGUUAAUCGGAAUUACUGGGCGUAAAGCGCGCGUAGGUGGCUUGAUAAGCCGGUUGUGAAAGCCCCGGGCUCAACCUGGGAACGGCAUCCGGAACUGUCAAGCUAGAGUGCAGGAGAGGAAGGUAGAAUUCCCGGUGUAGCGGUGAAAUGCGUAGAGAUCGGGAGGAAUACCAGUGGCGAAGGCGGCCUUCUGGACUGACACUGACACUGAGGUGCGAAAGCGUGGGUAGCAAACAGGAUUUAGAUACCCCUGUAGUC
rnacentral:rRNA from 1 species